GCCGGAGUGGUGAAAUUGGUAGACACGCUACCUUGAGGGGGUAGUGGGCUUAUGCCCGUGCGAGUUCGAGUCUCGCCUUCGGCACCA
rnacentral:tRNA from 2 species